AUGUUCUUGAAAUUCAAAGAAUCUGGCGGUAUUUUAGUCUAUUCAGAGGAACCUGUCCUAUAAUUGAUAAUCCACGAUUAAUUGUACUUAUUUUCAGUUUGUAUAUCGUCGUAGGUGGAAUGUUUUUAGAGAAUAGGGAAUGUUCAAGAUUUAUAUGUAUUUAUAAAGAAAAUCAGAUCAAGAUACAGCGUAUAAAUAAGAAGAGAUGGGUUACAAUAAAUUUAUUUAGAUGGUUAAAAUAUUUAACAAUAUUUUAUAAAGUGGAUUUGAUAGUAAUAUAAUCUAGUUAGAUUGUAUGAUUUUAGCUCUAGAAUAUGUACAUAUCGCCCGUCGCUCCUUCUACAAAGAAGGAUAAGUCGUAACAUAGUAGGUGUACUGGAAAGUGUACCUAGAAUGGCAAAUUAGAGCUUGGUUAAAAAGCAUUUUAUUUACAUUAAAAAGUUAGUUGUGAGAAUCAAUUUAAUUUGAAAGGUAAAAUUUAUUGGUUAAUUUUAAAAAAAAUAUUUUUUAUAGGGGUAUAUUUUAGAAUCUAGGAAUUUAAUUAUAGUGAAUAGUAUAGUGAUAGAAUAAUUAAUUAAUUUUGAUAUGUAUUUACUUUAAAGAAAAAUUAAUUUUUUGUACCUUGUGUAUCAGGGUUUAUUAAAAUAAGUUAAUAAUUUAAUUUUCUCGAAUUAAAAAGAGCUAUAACUUUAUAAAUUUAAUUGUGGCAUAAAUUUUUAUAAUAUGGUUAUAGAAAUGAAACGUUAGUCGUUUUUUAAGAUAUCUAGUUUCUUAAGAAAUAAAUUUAAUUUAGUUUUUUAGUUUUAAUUAAUUAAUUAUUUAGUUGAUUAAAAUAAGAAGGAAAUAUUUUAAGGGAUAAGCUUUAAAAUAGAGUAUUAAAAAUAAUUUUUAUUAGUUGAAAAUUUAUAGGAUUGGAAAUGUUUAUUGAUAGUUUGUUAUAAUUAAUUUUUAAUUGAAUAAGAUUUAUAUGAGUAUUUUAAGUUGUUUAUUAAGAUAAUAUAUUAAAUUUUAAUUUAUAUGUAAUAAUGAUAAAAUUAGUAUAGUUUAUUGUAUAAAGUAGUUUAAGAUUAAGGUUAAGUUAAGGAACUCGGCAAAUCUACUUUUCGCCUGUUUAUUAAAAACAUGUCUUUUUGAUUAUAAUUUAAAGUCUAACCUGCCCAAUGAGGAGUUAAAUGGCCGCGGUACUUUGACCGUGCAAAGGUAGCAUAAUCAUUAGUUUUUUAAUUGAAAGCUGGAAUGAACGGUUGGACGAGAAAGUGACUGUCUCAAUUUAAUUUAAAUUAGAAUUUUAUUUUUAAGUAAAAAAGCUUAUAUGAAUUUAAAAGACGAGAAGACCCUAUAGAAUUUUAUAUUUUUUUAUAGUUAUUAUUAUUGGUAUAGAAAGUUUUAGAUAUAGAAAAGUAUUUUGUUGGGGCGAUAGAAAAAUUAAAUAAACUUUUUUUAUAUAAUUCCAUUAAUUUAU
rnacentral:rRNA from 1 species